CCAUUAACGGAGUUUGUGGAAACAACCAGGAGCUGUUUGAAAAUGCUAGGUGGUAGAAUUUAAUUGGAGUAGCAACUGUUCAAAAUUAAGAUUAAAAGGACCAGUCAGUCAACGUGGAUUUCGUGACACCUUAAAAAUAACGUUUCAGGUUUGAUUAAUGCUGCAAGAAGUUUGCACAUUUCUCUCCUUUGCUGAUAGGGCCUGCGUGCUGAUAGUUGAUUCAGUGAAUAUAUGUAGCAGUGAUAGCUCAUGGGCUCCAGAGGUCAGAUAUCUUAUUCUCUAGGCUGAAACCCUUGUUGCUUUAAGGAAACAGGAUUUUAAUAGGAAUCACAUGCAGAUUGACUACAGGGAGCCAAGCGGUAGUGGAAGAAGCAAAGUUGGCGGUUUUGGAGACGGACGUCUAUCUAUCCACAGUGGGACAAAAAUGAAGGUUAUUGAAAAGAAUCAUGCUUGGUGGAAGAAGUAAUUACAUUUUUUUUUCAAAUCUCAGAGGAAUAAUGCUUUUAUAUUUCCUGCGAUGACCCAAUUUGCACUACGAUAUGCUCCCUUAAAUGUGAUUUAAACAGAAGAGAGGACCACCCCGCCAACCAAAUGUCCAGGUCCUAUUCCAUGGAACCUAUGAACAGGUUGUCCCACAUUGCAAAAGGGACUUCACAGAUGUCGAAGAGCUAGAGAAGAUGCGAUAAUGGAAGCGGAAUCAAAGACAGAUUUGAAGAUGCUGCUGUCUUUGGAGAGAAUGGCCAGGAGGCAAGGAACACAAGCAGCCCCUAGAAGUUGGAAAAGAAACAGGAGUGAUAAGGGGGAACUGAGGACUAAAUUUUUCUAAAGGUCUUCCUAAGGUUCCUGGAAGAAGUCACGUUUAUAAGCCAGAACUUACAUAUCUUUCUGCUGUCCCAAAAUUUUUAAACAAAACUACUCUUCCUUAACCAACUGCAAAUCAGAAAAUCUUGGAAUCUACUUAUGACCUGUAAGCCUCCGCUUCAAGAUACCCCACCUUUUUAGACCAAAGCAAUGACUAACCUCCAUGUAUUGAGGUAUGAUUUUGCCUGUAACUUCUGCCUUCUUGAAAGUUACCCAUACCUUUAAAGACCCUUGCUUGCAAGCCACUGAGAAGAUGGGUCUAAAGUGUGCAUUGCCCCAUUCUCCUUGCCUGGUUCCCUGCAAAUAAAUGCCCUGCUUUCUGCAGUGGCAAACCUCA
rnacentral:lncRNA from 1 species